rnacentral:rRNA from 1 species
ACGAGUGGCGAACGGGUGAGUAAUGUAUCGGAACGUACCUUUCAGUGGGGGAUAACGUAGCGAAAGUUACGCUAAUACCGCAUAUUCUGUGAGCAGGAAAGCAGGGGAUCGCAAGACCUUGCGCUGAUUGAGCAGCCGAUAUCAGAUUAGCUAGUUGGUGAGGUAAAGGCUCACCAAGGCGACGAUCUGUAGCGGGUCUGAGAGGAUGAUCCGCCACACCGGAACUGAGACACGGUCCAGACUCCUACGGGAGGCAGCAGUGGGGAAUUUUGGACAAUGGGGGCAACCCUGAUCCAGCCAUGCCGCGUGAGUGAAGAAGGCCUUCGGGUUGUAAAGCUCUUUCGGCCGGGAAGAAAUCGUAUGGGUUAAUACCCUGUGCGGAUGACGGUACCGGCAUAAGAAGCACCGGCUAACUACGUGCCAGCAGCCGCGGUAAUACGUAGGGUGCGAGCGUUAAUCGGAAUUACUGGGCGUAAAGCGCGCGCAGGCGGUUUUGUAAGACAGGCGUGAAAUCCCCGGGCUCAACCUGGGAACUGCGCUUGUGACUGCAAGGCUAGAGUAUGGCAGAGGGGGGUGGAAUUCCACGUGUAGCAGUGAAAUGCGUAGAGAUGUGGAGGAACACCAAUGGCGAAGGCAGCCCCCUGGGCCAAUACUGACGCUCAUGCACGAAAGCGUGGGUAGCAAACAGGAUUAGAUACCCUGGUAGUCCACGCCCUAAAACGAUGUCAACUAGGUGUUGGGUGGGUAAAACCAUUUAGUACCGGAGCUAACGCGUGAAGUUGACCGCCUGGGGAGUACGGCCGCAAGGUUAAAACUCAAAGGAAUUGACGGGGACCCGCACAAGCGGUGGAUGAUGUGGAUUAAUUCGAUGCAACGCGAAAAACCUUACCUACCCUUGACAUGUCCAGGAGCCUGAAGAGAUUUGGGUGUGCCCGAAAGGGAACUGGAACACAGGUGCUGCAUGGCUGUCGUCAGCUCGUGUCGUGAGAUGUUGGGUUAAGUCCCGCAACGAGCGCAACCCUUGUCGUUAAUUGCCAUCAUUUAGUUGGGCACUUUAACGAGACUGCCGGUGACAAACCGGAGGAAGGUGGGGAUGACGUCAAGUCCUCAUGGCCCUUAUGGGUAGGGCUUCACACGUCAUACAAUGGUCGGUACAAAGGGUUGCCAACCCGCGAGGGGGAGCCAAUCCCAGAAAGCCGAUCGUAGUCCGGAUUGCAGGCUGCAACUUGCCUGCAUGAAGUCGGAAUCGCUAGUAAUCGUGGAUCAGCAUGUCACGGUGAAUACGUUCCCGGGUCUUGUACACACCGCCCGUCACACCAUGGGAGCGGGUUCCGCCAGAAGUAGGUAGCCUAACCGCAAGGGGGGCGCUUACCACGGCGGGGUUCGUGACUGGGGUGAAGUCGGAACAAGGUA